GACGAACGCUGGCGGCGUGCUUAACACAUGCAAGUCGAACGGAAAGGCCCCUUUGGGGGUACUCGAGUGGCGAACGGGUGAGUAACACGUGAGUAACCUGCCCUUGACUUCGGGAUAACUUCAGGAAACUGGGGCUAAUACCGGAUAGGAAUCCUUGCUUCAUGGUGGGGGUUGGAAAGCUUCGGCGGUUUUGGAUGGACUCGCGGCUUAUCAGCUUGUUGGUGGGGUAGUGGCUUACCAAGGCUUUGACGGGUAGCCGGCCUGAGAGGGCGACCGGCCACAUUGGGACUGAGAUACGGCCCAGACUCCUACGGGAGGCAACAGUGGGGAAGAUUGCACGAUGGGCGGAAGCCUGAUGCAGCAACGCCGCGGGCGGGAUGACGGCCUUCGGGUUGUAAACCGCUUUCAGCAGGGGCGAAGCUUGUGGUGACGGUACCUGCAGAAGAAGCACCGGCUAACUACGUG
rnacentral:rRNA from 1 species